rnacentral:rRNA from 1 species
UACAGAGGUCUCAAGCGUUGUUCGGAUUCAUUGGGCGUAAAGGGUGCGUAGGCGGCGCGGUAAGUCGGGUGUGAAAUCUUGGAGCUUAACUCCGAAACUGCAUUCGAUACUGCCGUGCUUGAGGACUGGAGAGGAGACUGGAAUUUACGGUGUAGCGGUGAAAUGCGUAGAUAUCGUAAGGAAGACCAGUGGCGAAGGCGGGUCUCUGGACAGUUCCUGACGCUGAAGCACGAAGGCCAGGGGAGCAAAACGGGG